rnacentral:lncRNA from 1 species
GACUGAUAUUUGUAAUUAAAUAAAAUAAUUACAGUAAUUAUAAUCAUAAUAAAUAACAUGCUCAUGCAAAUAAAAUAAAAAAAUAACUGGCAAGCUCUUACUCUGCAGUACAGACACUGAAAGGGAAUCUUGACCAUGCAAGUAAAGAAAUCUAUAGAAAGAAAAAAAAAAGAAAAAAUUAUAAAUGUAUCUCUGUGGGUUAGACGUGUUCUUUUAUUAUUUUUCUUAGUGUCACUGCUGAACAAAUGUAAAUAACUUCAUCUGUGUACUUUACAGGUGGCUGUGACAGGGGCACACCCGGGGCAGGACCCAUGAGGAGUCAUAAAAGAUGCUCACAGCCUGGGCGCUUCUGCUCUUCUUAGCCAUGUUGGUGAAAAGCACGUCUGGUGGCCCACUGUCCUUCAGAAUAGGAGCAUUUUCUUCUUGCUGGUGUACUUUCCGUUCAAGGCACAGGUACAGACUCCCACACGGACAUUUCAAAGCGAAGAGAAGCACAGAAACAAAGACAUACUCCCUAAUGUCGCCACAAAGUCCCUGCCAUUUGCGCUCCUGGAGAUGGUAUUUAACAUGCCUGUCUCCCGAGUCCAGUCUGGAAGGCAUAAUGUCACUGUCUGGCCUUUUAUUAAUGUAUCAGUUCCAAUAAUGGUGUCUCUCCUCCUUCUAAGCUCUGUUUAGGUGAAAUGAGGGCCCGUUAUUGUUGCCAUAUCCGUUGAGGACACAAAACUAUGGCCUAAAAUGGACUACUGUUUGUUAAUGAGGUGGCACGUGUUAGUUAAUCUUAUCACCAUGCUCACACAGCCUGUUUCGUAUAAAAUUUAAUAGAAGUAUAGUAAUUUAGCAAGUAAUCAAGUUGUAUUUAUCUGAGAGCAUCAUACUUUAUGCACCGUUACUACCACUAAUGUGUAGAAAAAUAAAGAUUCCCUGCUCACAUAAUGACUGUUGCAGUUUGUGGCUGUUUUGUGUUAAUAAAGCUUUGAAAGCUGUGGAAAAGAGUUAGACCAACACAAUUAACUCUAUCGGGGGGGGGGGGUCUCUUUUCUUCAAUUCAGAAACUGUCUAGUUCAUUUUGAAUUCAGGAAGGGUUUUGUAGGAAAUUAAGGCUUUCUAAUUUUAUAUUUACCAUUUAAACGGUUGUUUAGUACGGAGCCCGUGUCCUGACAUGGAAAAAAUAAAAUAUAUUUCGUUCCCACAACUUAAAAUUUUGUUCCGACAAAUUAAUAUUCCGUUCCCACGAAAUAAUAUUCUGUUCCCAC